ACUACGGGGUGCAGCAGUGAGGAAUAUUGGUCAAUGGGCGCGAGCCUGAACCAGCCAAGUCGCGUGAGGGAGGACGGCCCUACGGGUUGUAAACCUCUUUUGCCGGGGAGCAACGGGCGUCACGUGUGGCGCCACUGAGAGUACCCGGAGAAAAAGCAUCGGCUAACUCCGUGCCAGCAGCCGCGGUAAUACGGAGGAUGCGAGCGUUAGCGGGAUUUAUUGGGUUUAAAGGGUGCGUAGGCGGAUCGUUAAGUCAGUGGGAAAAUUGAGGGGUUCAACCCCUUCCCGCCAUUGAAACUGGCGCUCUUGAGUGGAAGAGAAGUAUGCGGAAUGCGUGGUGUAGCGGUGAAAUGCAUAGAUAGCACGCAGAACCCCGAUUGCGAAGGCAGCAUGCCGGCUUCCGACUGACGCUGAAGCACGAAAGCGUGGGGAUCGAACAGGAUUAGAUACCCUAGUAGUC
rnacentral:rRNA from 1 species